UUAUCAAAAGUAGAGGGACGAAGAGCCGUUCGUGCUACCACGAAAAAGGCUUUAUGUAUUCUCGACCCGUCCAACAUGAGACAGGAGAGAAUUACAAAGUAAACUCGCGGAAUUCGAAUGUUUGGAGAAUUGGGGGGAGCAGCAAAGCUGCGGAGCUAUUAGUAAGUAUUGAUCA
rnacentral:ncRNA from 2 species